ACCUGGUUGGCUUAGUUGGUAGAGCAUGUGACUCUUGAUCUCGGGGUUGUAAGUUUGAGCUCCACACCAGGUG
rnacentral:tRNA from 1 species